UACGGGAGGGGCAAGCGGUAUUCGGCUUGACUGGGCGUAAAGGGUUCGUAGACUGUAAAAUAAGUUACUUGUUAAACUUUAAAGCUUAACUUUAAAUCAGCUUGUAAUACUGUUUUACUUGAGUUUUAUACAGAAGAGUAGAAUUUUAUACGUAAGGGUAAAAUCUAAAGAUAUAUAAAGGAAUGCCGGUAGCGAAGGCGACUCUUUGGUAGAAACUGACGUUGAGGAACGAAAGUAUGCGGAGCAAACAGG
rnacentral:rRNA from 1 species